rnacentral:rRNA from 1 species
GACGUAGGGCGCGAGCGUUGUCCGGAUUUAUUGGGCGUAAAGAGCUCGUAGGCGGCUUGUCGCGUCGUCCGUGAAAACCCACAGCUCAACUGUGGGCUUGCGGUCGAUACGGGCAGGCUAGAGUUCGGUAGGGGAGACUGGAAUUCCUGGUGUAGCGGUGAAAUGCGUAGAUAUCUGGAGGAACACCGGUGGCGAAGGCGGCAUCCUGGACCGGUAUUGACGCUGAGGAGCGAAAGCCAGGGGAGCAAACGGG